rnacentral:ncRNA from 1 species
GAAAUGGCUUUGACAGGAACAAGUAGUCCCGUUAUCCCUAUUGCAGAGAGUCAGUGGCUGGUGGAAACUGACAUACAUAACGUGAUGAAUUACCUCCUUGAGCUUUUGCUGUGAACGACUCGGUUCAGUAGCAGCAAACGGGAAAACCGUUAUUUUAUCAAGUGAAGGAUACUUGUGUCCUUAAGUUGGGUGGUACCGCGUGUUAGACGUCCCUGCA